AUUGAACGCUGGCGGCAGGCCUAACACAUGCAAGUCGAACGAGUGGCGGACGGGUGAGUAAUGUCUGGGAAACUGCCUGAUGGAGGGGGAUAACUACUGGAAACGGUAGCUAAUACCGCAUACCCUCGGUUUUGCCCAGAUGGGUUUAGCUAGUAGGUGGGGUAAAGGCUCACCUAGGCGACGAUCCCUAGCUGGUCUGAGAGGAUGACAAGCCACACUGGAACUGAGAAACGGUCCAGACUCCUACGGGAGGCAGCAGUGGGGAAUAUUGCACAAUGGGCGCAAGCCUGAUGCAGCCAUGCCGCGUGUAGGAAGAAGGCCUUAGGGUUGUAAAGUACUUGCAGCGGGGAGGCGGUAGACGAAGAAGAAGCACCGGCUAACUCCGUGCCAGCAGCCGCGGUAAUAG
rnacentral:rRNA from 1 species